AUUUUGUCAAUGUGUUAGUUCGUAUUCGUAAGUUGCUAUUGUGAGUACGCGAAUACGUUCGAUUUUGUGAUAUCUUUUUUUGGUGACCGAGUACGCACGUUUUGUGCCGGUAUAUCGCUGUGCAAUUUUAUUUAUCGUGUAAUAGUUUAUUUAUUGUUUUUUUUUUGUUUGGUAAUUAGAGUGAUAAUUAUUAAUCGUAUCGUCGUUAGUAGUGUUUAUAUAGAGUUGUAGUGCAGCAAGAAAAGUUUGUAAAACUAACUCCAGUUUGCGAACUUGGCCAAAGGAAAAGGCUGAUUGUGAUUUUUACAGCGUGCAAAAUCUGCUGUCUGUCAGUAGCGUGUGUUUCGCUGUUUCUUUCUUUAUUUCGAAUUACGACACGAGACGAAGUCGAUCGUUUAGAUUAUUUAUUUUAAAUAGCAAGUUUGUGUGCAUAUCAACGUAACCGAAACGCUUUUCUGAUUGGUCUUCGUCGUUCUCAGAUGGAACACGAUAGUUGGAAUUUACCUCCUAAAGACGGCUUAUAUGAUCCUGAAUUAGAGAAAGAUGCCUGCGGUGUUGGUUUCAUCGUCUCGAUUGAUGGCAAAAGUUGUCACAAGAUCGUAGAAGAUGCGGAGAAGUUAUCGUCUCGUAUGAACCAUCGUGGUGCCUGCGCUUGCGAUAAUGAUACUGGUGACGGAGCCGGCGUUUUGACCGCUAUUCCUCAUGAAUUUUUUCACGCUAUACUCAAAGAUGAAAAUAUCGAUCUACCAGCCAAGGGUAAAUACGCAACCGGAAUCGUGUACACCGAUAAGCAGCACCAUCAAGAUGGCGAAAAAAUAUUCGAUCAGAUUGCCCAAGAAUGUAAACUACGGGUCUUGUAUUGGCGAACGGUGCCUACGAAGAAUUCGGGUAUCGGUGAAGUGGCCCGAGGCAGCGAACCUUUCAUGCGGCAGGUCUUCGUCGUUCAGGAUGUGGAAAUGGAGGAAGAAGUGUUUAAGCGACAGAUAUUCGUGUUGAGGAAAAGAGCAACUCAUACGAUACCGAAACCGGGACGAAGAUUUUAUAUUUGUUCGUUAUCUUCGGCCAUUAUCGUCUACAAAGGACAGCUCACCGGUGAUCAGUUAUGGACGUAUUUUGUGGAUUUGAAAAAUCCGCAAUUCGAAACAUAUCUAGCCUUGGUGCAUACGAGAUUCUCGACGAACACGUUUCCAAGUUGGGAGCGAGCCCAUCCUCUAAGGAUGCUAGCUCAUAACGGCGAAAUAAACACGUUACGCGGUAACGUGAACUUCAUGAAAGCCCGCGAAGGUGUCAUGAAAAGUUCGUACGUCGAUAACAUCAAGCAGCUGUAUCCGGUAGUCGAGCCGAAUUUGUCGGAUUCCGGAUCGUGCGAUUGUGUAUUGGAAUUUUUAGUCAUGGCCGGAGGCCGAUCUUUGCCAGAGGCUAUUAUGACCAUGGUACCGGAAGCUUGGCAUAACGACGUUACUAUGCCAAAAGAGAAGAAAGAUUUUUAUAAUUGGGCAGCCUGCGCUAUGGAACCUUGGGAUGGUCCGGCGUUGUUUACGUUCACCGAUGGACGUUAUGUGGGUGCUAUUUUAGAUAGAAAUGGAUUGAGACCUUCGAGGUUCUACGUGCUGAAAGAUAACAUUAUGGUGAUGGCGUCCGAAGUUGGAGUAUACGAUACGGAUCCGGAAAAUGUGGCUUUGAAAAGUCGUUUGAAACCGGGCCGAAUGUUAUUGGUAGACACGAAAGAAAAAACCAUCAUCCAAGAUGUCGAAUUGAAACAGCACAUAGCUACCUCGCGUCCAUACACGAAUUGGUUAUCAGAACAGAUCUUAAUGGACGAGUUACGCAACGAAGCUGUGAAAAAAGUCGGCCUAGUUAAAGCCAAAUCUAUCGAAUUCGUCAGCGGUGGAAAGAAUAAAUAUAUAUCGGAUAAUCUACCCGAGCAUGAGAUCACCAGGAUUUGGGGCGGUGACCGAAGACUUUCGUUAUUCAGUUACACCAUCGAAACGAUUACUAUGCUUUUGUUACCUAUGAUUCGUACCGGUAAAGAAGCUCUCGGAUCGAUGGGAAAUGACGCUCCUUUGGCUUGUCUGUCGCGAUUCCAACCUUUACUUUAUGAUUAUUUCAAACAGCUUUUCGCUCAGGUCACUAACCCGCCUAUUGAUCCGAUUCGUGAGAAAGUCGUCAUGUCUCUGAUGUGUCCCAUCGGACCAGAAGGAAACAUCUUGAUACCAGGACCUCAGCAAUGUCAUCGUAUCUUUUUACCCAACCCGAUUAUUUCGCUUUACGAUCUCGAAGUGCUCAGAUGCAAUACUCAUCGAGGAUGGAAAACGAAAGUUAUCGACAUCACGUUCCAUAAAUCCGAAGGCAAAAAAGGGUUCUUGAAUAGUUUGACUAGAGUUUGUGACGAAGCUUGUCAAGCAGCCAUGGGUAAUUACCAGCUGAUCAUCUUGUCCGAUCGCAAAGCUUCGGCUAACAGGAUACCGCUGAGUAUUUUAUUGGCUUUGGGUGCUGUUCAUCAUCAUCUCAUUGAAGAGAGACAAAGGAUGAAAGUUGGAUUGAUUUUGGAAACUGGAGAAGCCAGAGAGGUGCAUCAUAUGUGCGUUCUUCUCGGUUACGGAGCUGAUGCCAUUUGCCCCUAUUUGGUAUUUGAAAUGGCCAAGAGUCUUAGAGAGGAAGGCGUUUUGGAUUCGUCUUUCACCGAUAAAGUUGUUUUCGAGAGUUAUUCGGAAGCAAUGGAUAAAGGUAUCUCGAAAGUGAUGGCUAAAAUGGGCAUAUCAACGCUGCAAUCGUACAAAGGUGCUCAAAUCUUCGAAUCUAUCGGUUUAGCUGACGAAGUGAUCAAUCGAUGCUUCAAAGGCACACCUUCUCGUAUCGGUGGAGUAGAUUUCGACGUAUUGGCCGAGGAGGCUUUCGAAAGGCACCAUCUUUCGUAUUCCGAACGUAGCGUCGAUAUGUUGGUUCUACGUAACCCUGGAUACUACCACUGGCGAAGUGGAGGCGAGAAACAUAUCAAUGAUCCUUUGAGUAUCGCUAAUUUACAAGAAGCGGUCAACAAUAAAAGCGACACCGCGUACAAUAAAUUCUGCGAGUCUACCAUGGACAGCGUGAAAGAAUGCACGUUACGAGGUCAGCUAGAGUUAAUCCCGUCCAGAAGUCCAGUUCCUAUCGAACAAGUCGAACCAGCGGCUGCUAUUGUGAAAAGAUUCGCCACAGGUGCCAUGAGUUUGGGCAGUAUCUCGAUCGAGGCUCAUUCGACUCUGGCUGUUGCCAUGAAUCGUAUCGGUGGUAAAUCCAACACAGGAGAAGGAGGUGAGGAAGCAGACCGAUACCUGGACACAGAUCUGCAAAAUUCCAAACGCUCGGCUAUCAAGCAAGUAGCUUCGGGACGAUUCGGUGUCACUAGCUCGUACCUGGCGCACGCCGACGAUCUGCAGAUUAAAAUGGCUCAAGGAGCCAAACCAGGAGAAGGUGGCGAGUUACCCGGAUACAAAGUUACCGAAGAUAUUGCUCGUACUAGGCAUUCCGUUCCCGGAGUCGGGCUCAUAUCGCCUCCUCCUCAUCACGAUAUUUACUCGAUCGAAGAUUUGGCCGAGUUGAUUUACGAUCUCAAAUGCGCCAAUCCGAAUGCUCGUGUUUCGGUCAAGCUGGUAUCCGAAGUCGGAGUUGGUGUUGUUGCUUCUGGUGUGGCUAAAGGUAAAGCUGAACAUAUCACCAUUUCCGGUCACGACGGUGGUACCGGCGCUAGUUCUUGGACUGGUAUCAAGAACGCCGGUGUACCUUGGGAAUUAGGUGUCGCCGAGACCCAUCAAGUCUUGGUGUUGAAUAAUCUACGAUCCAGAGUCGUUAUUCAAGCCGAUGGACAGAUUCGAACUGGUUUCGACGUAAUCGUAGCCGCCAUCUUGGGAGCGGACGAAAUCGGCAUGAGUACCGCGCCUUUGAUCGCCAUGGGUUGCACGAUGAUGAGAAAAUGUCACUUGAACACCUGCCCGGUCGGUAUCGCUACUCAGGAUCCGGAACUGCGCAAGAAAUUCGCCGGUAAACCGGAACACGUGAUUAAUUAUCUAUUCAUGCUGGCCGAAGAAGUCCGAGAACAUAUGGCCAAUCUGGGUAUCAAACGGUAUCAAGAUCUCAUUGGUAGAACCGAUUUACUCAAGACGUCCGAAAACCUGAAUAAUCCCAAGGCGAAGUUCUUAAACUUGGGAUUAAUUUUGAAAAAUGCUCUGCACAUGAGACCUGGAGUCGAUAUUGUGGCUGGAUCGAAAACUCAAGAUUUCCAAUUGGAGAAACGACUCGAUAAUAUUUUGUACGAAAAAUCGUUACCGGUUUUGAAUGGUGAAAAGAAGAGUGUGGAUAUCGAAUUGGUUAUUAAUAACGAAUGCCGAGCUUUCGCUUCUACUCUCAGUUACCAUAUUUCAAUGAAAUACGAUCAAGGAUUACCAGAAAAAAGCAUCAAUAUCUAUUUGAAAGGAUCCGCUGGUCAGAGUUUCUGCGCAUUCUUGACCAAAGGAGUCCACGUAACCUUGGAAGGAGACGCCAAUGACUACGUUGGCAAAGGUUUGUCUGGAGGUGAAGUGAUCAUAUAUCCUCCGAAAUCAUCUACCUUCGAAUCGCACAAAAACGUCAUCGCUGGUAACGUUUGUCUUUACGGUGCCACUUGCGGUAAAGCUUUCUUCAGAGGUAUCGCUGCAGAGAGAUUCUGCGUCAGAAAUUCCGGAGUUGUUACGGUUUGCGAGGGUGUUGGUGAUCACGGUUGUGAGUACAUGACUGGAGGAUGUGCUGUGAUUUUGGGUUUGACAGGACGUAAUUUUGCAGCUGGUAUGUCCGGUGGUAUUGCUUACGUCUUGGAUGUCGAUGGCAGUUUUAACAGCAAAUGCAACAAAGAAAUGGUGGAAUUGUUACCGUUGAACGAUCCCAAGGAUCUGGACUACGUUAAAGAUCUCCUGAUCGAAUUCGAAUCGAAAACUGGCUCGCUUAUCGCAAAAAACUUGAUCGAAAACUGGCCCGCAGCUGCUGAGAAAUUCGUCAAAGUAUUCCCGUUCGAAUACCAGAGAGCAUUGAAACAAAUGGCUGCCAAACAACCGGCUACUGCUGCCAAUGACGGCAAAGCACCGCAGAAACAAGCCUCAGGCGAUCAAGGAGCUGCUAAACCUGGUUCCGGCUCUGUUAAAGAUAUCGAAGAGACCGUCACCGAUGCUUCGUUCCAGAAAAAGAAACUGGAGAUGAUUUUGGAUAAGACUAGAGGUUUCGUCAAAUACGGUCGUGAAACGAACCCUUAUCGUUCGGUCGAGAAACGUAUGAACGACUGGGAUGAAAUUUACAAUUUCCCAUACGUACGUAAGAAUCUGCAAGUGCAAGCUGCUCGUUGCAUGGAAUGCGGUGUACCGUUCUGCCAAUCUUCUCACGGAUGCCCGUUGGGUAACAUUAUACCCAAAUGGAACGACCUGGUUUUCAAUAAUAACUGGACCGAAGCUUUGAAUCAGCUCUUGCAGACGAAUAAUUUCCCUGAAUUCACCGGUCGAGUAUGUCCGGCACCUUGCGAAGGAGCUUGCGUGCUCGGAAUUAACGAGCUGCCCGUUACCAUUAAGAACAUAGAAUGCGCCAUUAUCGACAACGCUUUCGAAAAAGGAUGGAUCAAAGCUGAAAUCCCGUUGAAACGAUCUGGUAAAAAAGUAGCCAUCGUCGGAUCCGGUCCUGCUGGAUUGGCUGCCGCUCAUCAGCUCAAUAAAGCUGGUCAUUGGGUUACUGUUUACGAACGUAAUAAUCGAGUCGGAGGUCUCCUACGAUACGGUAUUCCUACGAUGAAACUUUCCAAAGAAGUUGUACAAAGAAGAGUAACGCUGUUGGCCGAAGAAGGUAUCGAGUUCAAGACGAAUAUCAACGUAGGAAAAGAUAUUUCGGCUAAAGAAUUAGUGCAAGAUUACGACGCGUUGAUCCUGUGUACUGGAGCGACCUGGCCCAGAGAUUUACCCAUUCCAGGAAGACAACUGGAAGGUAUUCACUUCGCGAUGAACUUCUUGGAAUCGUGGCAGAAGAAACAAGCCGGCGAUAUGAACGUACCGCCUAUUUUGGCCAAAGACAAAGACGUAAUUGUGAUCGGAGGAGGUGAUACGGGAUGCGAUUGUAUCGGAACUUCCUUCAGACAGGGUGCUAAUUCGGUGAUAGCUUUCGAAAUCUUACCAGAACCUCCGACUAGCAGGUCGAAAGAUAAUCCAUGGCCUCAGUUCCCUCGCGUUUUCAAAGUCGAUUACGGACACGAAGAAGUUCGCGCCAAAACUGGCAAAGAUCCUCGUCAAUUUAGCAUUUUAAGCAAAGAAUUCAUCGAUAAUGGUAAAGGACAAAUCAGCGGUAUAAAAACAGCUCAAGUCAAAUGGACGAAAGACGAAAUCGGAAGGUGGAAAAUGGAUGAAAUACCCGGAUCGGAAAAAGUAUUCAAAUGUGACCUAGUGUUUUUGGCAAUGGGUUUCUUGGGUCCGGAAAAGUAUAUCUCGACCGAACUCGACUUGAAACUAGAUCCUCGCUCGAAUUACGAAACGCCUGCUGGAAAGUAUUCCACGUCGCAUCCUAAAGUUUUCGCUGCCGGAGACUGCAGACGAGGACAAUCUCUGGUCGUAUGGGGUAUCACCGAGGGUCGUCAAGCGGCCAAAGAAGUCGAUCAGUACCUAAUGGGCAGCACCGAUUUACCAGGUGCUGGUGGCAUGAUCACAGCAUCGUGCGUUUCUUAAUUCCUAAAAAUGUUAAUUAUCAUCCAUUCAUCAUACACCAUCGCGUGUGACGAGGACGAUCUAUCAGAAAAGAUUUAAAAAAGAAUGCUGCGGUGUACGAUGGUCAUCUUCGAAUCAGCUCAAUUGAAUUAUCAUUCCUCUACAUGAACGGAUCUUAUCGUAUAAUUUUCUAUUUACUACGCGAGAAAAAAAUCUCAUCGAUGUGCUUACCUAUAAUGGUAUCUUUCCUUUUGAUUUUUCCUCCUAUUUCAAUUUUUAUUCUUCUACGUACGUAAGCUAAUAAUUACGUAUAACUUUAUCGAACAGCUGCUGAAAAUGAUUGAUUUUUUAAAAUUAUACCUACCCAAUUACCUACCUAUUAUCUAAUUUUGGAAACUCGAGCACAGUCACAGAAGGCAUUUCAAAUUGCCUAUCGUAAAAUUUGGCUUCCAUUUUUCUUUCUUUCGUUUUGUUAUCUACAAUCACUGCGACAAUAAUAUUGAACUUGUUUUUUUUCUAACGGAUUUUUUUUCUUGUAUCAUGGGUUGUAUGUGUAAGUUUUCUUAUUGGGUAGCCGUAGUGUCCCUCCUUCCCUCUUUGUUUAUUUUUGAAAAAUAUAAAAUCAAAAUUUACUACGGCGAUGUGUAAGUUACUAUUUUAACGUGCCUUGGAGUGAUGAUGCUUUUUACGAGUUAUACUAACUACGUUUUUAAUUCUAGUCAAAGUAAUAAGUGUGUAAUUAAAUAGAAAGUUGCAUUCGUUAUGGAGUCGGGCACUUUUCAUUACCUAUAUAUUCGAGCAACACUGAUUCGUCUUCGGCCUCCCAUCCGCGUUUUUUUUGUAGUCCUUCAUCCUGUUUUAUUCUUUUUUUAAAAAAAGUAUCGCGGUGGUUUUGUUUUUUUUUUCUUUUUUUUGUUUCUGUUUAAUAAUUUUUUUUUCUAAAUUAAACUUUUGAUUGUUGAGAAAUUUUUCUGCAUUUAUGUGUUACUAUAUUUUAAAUAGAAUAUGAUCAUUAUUGGUUAUAUGAUUAAUUACGUUAUAUAAAUAUAUAAUACAUUUUAUAUUAUUAAGUUACCUCUUUUUUUUCUGUUUUUGUUCUAUUUAUAUACGUCAUAUACAUAUUUAUAUUUAUAAUUAUUUUAUCGUUGAUAAGCUUUGAAUGUUUUUAUUGUACUACCUACCCCUCUUCUUCUCUAUAUAAGCGACUGUAAGCGACAUGAUUUUAUUUUAGCGCCUCGUAAAAAUGUCGAUUUUUAUUCAUUCUUUUAAAUGUGAACAAAGGUGGGUGUUUUUUUUUCGUUUUUUUUUCAUUCAAUGAUUGAUAACGCACAGCUUGACCUCUCUUUUUCUCUUUUUUUUUUGGUCUUAAAAAUGUUUAACUUGGGUAUGUCUAAAGUCAAUUAGAAAUGUGUAUAAGUUGAAUGAUUACAACGCAAGACGCUCUCGAUGCUCCAUCCAUUUUUUUCGAAUUUUUUUAUCGAUUUUUUUUUUUUUCUAAAACAUGUUACCUGGGAAUUGAAAGUGCAGGUUUCUAUGUUGUUUUUAAGAUUGUUCACAUAGACAUUAGACAAUAAUUAUUAUUAUGUUAUUUCUUGAGAAUAAAAAAGCUUUCACUGAGA